GACGAACGCUGGCGGAGUGCUUAACACAUGCAAGUCGAGCGAGCGGCGGACGGGUGAGUAAUGUAUGGGGACUGCCCGAUAGAGGGGGAUAACUACUGGAAACGGUAGCUAAUACCGCAUACUAUCGGAUAACCCAUAUGGGAUUAGCUAGUAUGUGAGGUAAUGACCCACCUAGGCGACGAUCACUAGCUGGUCUGAGAGGAUGAUCAGCGACACUGUGACUGAGACACGGCCCAGACUCCUACGGAGUCAGCAGUGGGGAAUAUUGCACAAUGGGCGCAAGCCUGAUGCAGCCAUGCCGCGUGUAUGAAGAAGGUCCUAGGGUUGUAAAGUACUUUCAGUCGGGAGGCGUUACCGAAAGAAGAAGCACCGGCUAACGCCGUGCCAGACGCCGCGGUAAUGC
rnacentral:rRNA from 1 species